rnacentral:other from 1 species
CGCACCCUGCGGGGUUCGACACGGACCGGGAUACCUCUCGACCCUAAUUACUUAAUCCUGGGACCAGGUACUGUCGGUGUUUUUGAGCAUGGCCGCCUAUUGCGGAAAGCCUGUGACACCACGGCCAGUCCCACUUUUUGCUCUGGUUCGAGAGCAAUGGUUUGUGACGGCUCAGGCGGGGUGCGU